rnacentral:rRNA from 1 species
GAUGAACGCUGGCGGCGUGCCUAAUACAUGCAAGUCGAGCGAACAGACGAGGAGCUUGCUCCCCUGACGUUAGCGGCGGACGGGUGAGUAACACGUGGAUAACCUAACUAUAAGACUGGGAUAACUUCGGGAAACCGGAGCUAAUACCGGAUAAUAUAUUGAACCGCAUGGUUCAAUAGUGAAAGACGGUUUUGCUGUCACUUAUAGAUGGGUGCGCGCCGCAUUAGCGAGUUGGUAGGGUAACGGCUUACCAAGGCGACGAUGCGUAGCUGACCUGAGAGGAUGAGCAGCAACACUGGGAGUGAGACAAGGACGAGAGUCUUCCGGGAGGGAGGAGGGGGGAAGAUGGGACACGGGGGGAAAGAAUGAGUCAGCAAUGCCGAGUGAGUGAUGAAGGGCUUAGGGAUGAAAAGAUAUUUUAACAGGGCUGAUAAUGAGAGUACCGGGAGAAAAAGCCACGGCUAACUACGUG